rnacentral:rRNA from 1 species
CUCCUACGGGAGGCAGCAGUGGGGAAUAUUGGACAAUGGGGGAAACCCUGAUCCAGCCAUGCCGCGUGAGUGAAGAAGGCCUUCGGGUUGUAAAGCUCUUUCGACGGGGACGAUGAUGACGGUACCCGUAUAAGAAGCCCCGGCUAACUUCGUGCCAGCAGCCGCGGUAAUACGAAGGGGGCUAGCGUUGUUCGGAAUUACUGGGCGUAAAGCGCGCGUAGGCGGUGAUCUUUGUCAGAGGUGAAAGCCCGGGGCUCAACUCCGGAAUUGCCUUUGAAACGGGAUCGCUUGAGUCCGAGAGAGGAUGGCGGAAUUCCUAGUGUAGAGGUGAAAUUCGUAGAUAUUAGGAAGAACACCGGUGGCGAAGGCGGCCAUCUGGCUCGGUACUGACGCUCAGGCGCGAAAGCGUGGGGAGCAAACAGGAUUAGAUACCCUGGUAGUCCACGCCGUAAACUAUGAAUGCUAGUUGUUAGGAAGUUUACUUCUUAGUGACGCAGCUAACGCGUUAAGC